rnacentral:rRNA from 1 species
UUUGAUCCUGGCUCAGGAUAAAACGCUGGCGGCGCACAUAAGACAUGCAAGUCGAACGAACUUAACCUCUUGCUUGCAAGAGGAGCGGUUAGUGGCGGACUGGUGAGUAACACGUAAGAAAUCUGCCUAUCAGAGGGGAAUAACAGUGAGAAAUCAUUGCUAAUACCGCAUAUGCCAUAAUUAUCGCAUGAUAAUAGUGGGAAAGGAGCAAUCCGCUGAUAGAUGAGCUUGCGUCUGAUUAGCUAGUUGGUGGGGUAAAAGCCUACCAAGGCGACGAUCAGUAGCCGGACUGAGAGGUUGAACGGCCACAUUGGGACUGAGAUACGGCCCAGACUCCUACGGGAGGCAGCAGUCGGGAAUAUUGCGCAAUGGAGGAAACUCUGACGCAGUGACGCCGCGUAUAGGAAGAAGGUUUUCGGAUUGUAAACUAUUGUCCACAGGGAAGAAAAAAGACUGUACCUGUGAAGAAAGCUCCGGCUAACUACGUG